AGUGAGGAAUAUUGCACAAUAGGCGCAAGCCUGAUGCAGCAACGCCGCGUGGACGAUGAAGGCCUUCGGGUUGUAAAGUCCUUUUCUGGGGGAAGACAUGGACGGUACCCCAGGAAUAAGUGUCGGCUAACUACGUGCCAGCAGCCGCGGUAAAACGUAGAACGCGAGACGUUAUCCGGAUUUACUGGGCGUAAAGCGCGUGCAGGCGGUCUGUUAAGUCGUGCGUGAAAGCUCCCUGGCUCAACCGGGAGAGGUCGUACGAAACUGGCAGGCUUGAGGGCAGCAGAGGAGUGUGGAAUUCCGGGUGUAGUGGUGAAAUGCGUAGAUAUCCGGAGGAACACCAGUGGCGAAGGCGACACUCUGGGCUGUACCUGACGCUAAGACGCGAAAGCAUGGGUAGCGAACGGGAUUAGAAACCCCGGUAGUCCAUGCCGUAAACGAUGUGCACUAGGCGUAGGGGGGUCACACCCGCUGUGCGCGAAGCUAACGCGAUAAGUGCACCGC
rnacentral:rRNA from 1 species